rnacentral:rRNA from 1 species
UGCCAUCAGCCGCGGUAAUACGGAGGGGGCUAGCGUUGCUCGGAAUUACUGGGCGUAAAGAGCACGUAGGCGGGUAUUCUAGUCAGGCGUGAAAGCCCCAGGCUCAACCUGGGAACUGCGUUUGAUACUGGAUACCUAGAGCCCGAGAGAGGGUGGUGGAAUUCCCAGUGUAGAGGUGAAAUUCGUAGAUAUUGGGAAGAACACCAGUGGCGAAGGCGGCCACCUGGCUCGGUACUGACGCUGAGAUGCGAAAGCGUGGGGAGCAAACAGGAUUAGAUA